rnacentral:rRNA from 1 species
GAUCAUGGCUCAGGAUGAACGCUGGCGGCGUGCUUAACACAUGCAAGUCGAGCGAAGCGCUUAAGUUUGAUUCUUCGGAUGAAGACUUUUGCAACUGAGCGGCGGACGGGUGAGUAACGCGUGGGUAACCUGCCUCAUACAGGGGGAUAACAGUUAGAAAUGACUGCUAAUACCGCAUAAGACCACGGUACCGCAUGGUGCAGUGGUAAAAACUCCGGUGGUAUGAGAUGGACCCGCG